rnacentral:rRNA from 1 species
UACGUAGGGGGCAAGCGCUGUCCGGAUUUAUUGGGCGUAAAGAGCGUGUAGGCGGCUAGAUAGGUCCGUUGUGAAAACUCGAGGCUCAACCUCGAGACGUCGAUGGAAACCAUCUGGCUAGAGUCCGGAAGAGGAGAGUGGAAUUCCUAGUGUAGAGGUGAAAUUCGUAGAUAUUAGGAAGAACACCAGUGGCGAAGGCGGCUCACUGGCCCGGCACUGACGCUGAGGCGCGAAAGCGUGGGGAGCAAACAGG